AUCUCAGUUUUCCAGGGAAUAUGACAAAUAUUUUUGCUGCUCAAGAUUAAGUUGCCAGUUUUAUCCGUAAAUUGCAACUUCACCAAAAUGGAACUGAAGUUUAGGACAUAUCAAUGUUCCCAGAACUAACAAUAAUGCUCGACGAAAGAAAUGAAAAAUGCUCAUUCACAGACCAAAUAACUCUCCACUUAAUAUCAGUAGUAGAUUAAAUCGGUAAAUAUUUUCCAGAUAUAAAAAAUCGUCAAGUUAAUGCUUGGGUGUUAAGACCUUUUUCAGUAAAUGUAAGUAUAUUUCCAGAUAUUGAAAUUAAAGCUAAAGCACAAAUUUAAGGACUUUGUGAAGACAACAGACGGAAAAUAAAUUUUGAAAAC